CACAACAUUUGUAUGGACACAACAUGUUAUUAACAGAGAGGUUCACAACAUUUGUAUGGACACAACAUGUUAUUAACAGAGAGGUUCACAACAUUUGUAUGGACACAACAUGUUAUUAACAGAGAGGUUCACAACUUUGUUAUUUACUUUGCUUGGUUACAUAUUCAUGCACUUUAUUUAUUUCAGCCCUUUUUCAUUCCUCAUUGAAAUUCAGAUAGCUUUUAUUUUUAAUUAAUAAAUCACUUAUUUUUAUUGCUAUUUGUUUUCUAUUACAAUUGCAACAAUGAAAGUAUGACAGUUGAUAUGUUUUUUUUUAGGUGAAAUGGCCAGCAUAAUAUUGUGUCGUUUUGCAAAGACAAUUCACAAAAGCCAUCGAUAUAAUUAUUCUCAAGUUUAGAGUUAAAAGAAAACCAUUGGGACCAUUAGCUUUGUACAGUCAUGCACAUUGCUGUAAUCCCAAACUAGAACCAAACAUAGGAGCAUACUGCAUGUGGAUAGUGUUGAUAUGACAACCCACAUAAAGGCGUCCUAUAAAAGCACUCACUCAAUGCAAGUGAAAACAUACCCAGUCAGCAGUGAAUUCAUCUUCACCUGCAAUGGGGGGAAACAAGCUCUCUGAUUAACCAACGGUGAAUCAGACUGCCGUUUGGUGCGCUUUUUUAAAAUGGAGAGCCUAAGAGGUAUGAGUUUAAAGGCCUCGGACAAAGGGUGCAAGCUAGUAUACCUGUUGGUGUGAUAUUAAUCCUAUUCAGGUCGAUAAAACAUACUGCUAGCAGGCGAAUAACUGCUUUAGGAGCUCGUUCAAGGUCACUCGGGAACGGUGACAAGUUUUACGUAGCGCGCAACCUUCAUUUAUCUGAGCAUGGGUAGACCACCGAGUGUGUUUAACCAUUUGCUUUGUGAGAUCUGUGGUGCUGUGGUUGUAGCAACAUUUCAUUGCACUUGAACAUGCUCAAUGUUUACAGUUGGAGGAAAACGUAAACAACAAUCCGAUCUAAGGGCUCGAUUCAAUCAGCGCAGAAGAUCGGCCUUUAAUCGCACGAUUGACAUUCAAAGAUUUCUGUGUUCGCGGAGACCGCACAUUCCCGGUAAACGCUACUCGUGUCGGCUCAAUUGAAAAUGACCUUUACAUUUCAACCACACGAUUCAAUCGGGCCACUCCUUUGUUUAUUGAUGUCUGAACGCGUCUUGUAAAAAAAAAAAAAUCCCCCUACAUUGUACAGUUUUGUAAAUCUCCACAUCUAAAGUUGCACAAAAUGAUCUGUGUUGAACAGUAAUUGUGACGCUGUGUACAAAUGCUCAAAUAUAACAUCUUCACUAGCUGUUAGCCUACUGAAUGUAAAUAACAUGUACAGUGUACGCUGUGAAGACGAAGCCAUGUAAGAGAUUUCAGAAAGAGAUUUCAGACAGUAUGGCUGAAAAGGUGUCCCAUUGUAUUGAGAGUGUCUUUGGGUGUUCUCAUGGAUACACAAACAGCUAGUAUACCUGUUGGUGUGCAUGUAUGUAGGUUACCUCUGUGGAUAUUAUUUUGUGCAGGGUUUAAAAUGACACAUUGUGAGUUUCUGAGAUACACUGCUUUGCGCAGAAUCUAAUUCAUGGGUUAUAAUUGAUGGGUCUAAUUGAUGGGUUAUAUACUACUUCUGGCAGUAUGAAUAUUUGUCUGUGUAUCUUAAACAUUCACAUUGACUCUUGGGAAUGCCUUAGCAGUAGGCUAGACCAUCUAUACACUAUAUAUACAAAAGUAUGUGGACACCCCUUCAAAUUAGUAGAUUCGGCUAUUUCAGCCACACAUGUUGCUGACAGGUGUAUAAAAUCGAGCACACAGCAAUUCAAUCUCCAUAAACAAACAUUGGCAGUAGAAUGGCCCGUACUGAAGAGCUCAGUGACUUUCAACGUGGCUCCGUCAUAGGAUGCCACCUUUCCAACAAGUCAGUUCGUCACAUUUCUGCCCUGCUAGAGCUGCCCAGGUCAACUGUAUUGUGAAGUGGAAACGUCUAGGAGCAACACCGGCUCAGCCGUAAAAAAUCGUCUGUCCUCGGUUGCAACUCUCACUACCGAGUUCCAAACUGCCUCUGGAAGCAACUUCAGCACAAGAUUUAUUUGUCGGGAGCUUCAUGAAAUGGGUUUCUAUGGCCGACCAGCCUAAUAUCACCAUGCACAAUGCCGGCUGGAGUGGUGUAAAGCUCGCCGCCAUUAGACUCUGGAGCAGUGGAAAGGCGUUCUCUGGAGUGAUGAAUCACGCUUCACCAUAUAGCAUUUGGGGAAGGCCCUAUCCUGUUUCAGCAUGACAAUUCCCCCGUGCACAAAGCGAGGUCCGUACAGAAAUGGUUUGUCGAGAUCGGUGUUGAACAACUUGACUGGCCUGCACAAGGCCCUGACCUCAACCCUAUCGAACACCUCUGGGAUGAAGUUUAACACUGACUGCGAGCCAACUCCAUCUAACUGGCCAUGAUUUCAGAAUGAGAUGUUCGACGAGCAGGUGUCCACAUACUUUUGGUAAUUUAGUGUAGCAUCUGCAAGUAGUGCACAAAAGGCACAAAUCUGGUAGCCAAAGGUCCAGAAAUGCAUGACAAAAGGAGACAUCUAUAGGCCUUACACGUGAUGAUAAUAAUAAACAGAGAUAUCCACAUACUGCACCUUUGGCCAUGUAGUGUAUGUCUGUCUAUAACAAUUGCAGGAAUUGUUUCAGAGUUUACUUGUUCAACCUUUCUGGGGAUUCAAAACAUAUCUUUCAUAUGAUAAAAACAUGAAUGUCUGCCUAGUCAUUUCUCUAAUCUUUACCGCAAAAAACAUAAACACAGACGAAUGUACAGAAAGAAGCAAGCCACACAGCAAAAGCAGUCUGAAGACUUCUAUCACUAUAGCGACCAAUAGACUACCAUACCUCUUCAUGCAACUGUGUACAGAAGCUCAGCAAGUAAACUUUUGAAAAAAAAUCGAAAUGUAAAUAAAUCCAUCUGUUGAAAUGUGAAUAUUAGUAACAGCUGUGAAAUAACACGAUUGUAUGUCGUCAAAGAGUUAAACAUGACAUGUCCAGUCUCAACAUAAUUUGAAACGCAGGUGAUUUUUUUUUCCAAUAUGAAUUUGUCAAACAGCAGUAUUGUAAAGGAAGAUUAGAAUGAUUUAAGGGGUUGCAAACUAUGACAUGUACUCCUGUGAGACCAAUAUAUUUGAUCUG
ensembl:lncRNA